CACAGGAGGUAUGUAAUGCUUACAUAUGGUUUUUCCGUCACCUUGUUUGCUUCUUUCUUGCAGGAAAUAAUUGGAGUGUUUAACGGCAACUGCAUGAUCAACUACUCCGCCUACAGGUGUAUCUUCCCAAUCUGGGCACUCGGACAAUACCGCAGCCGCGUGCUCAAGCGUCCAGCAAUUGAGUCUUUUAUUAGUUUCCAGCAACACAUAAACCAUGACACAUAAAGCAUCGCUUUGCUAAAAUUUUACCUAUGGAAUCCCAGCUCGUUUUUAGCUGGCUCGCGGCCGUCCAGUGUUGUUGUGGAAGCCCUGGAAGUCAAACAUGUCUUCUUCAAUAUGGCAGUGGCAUCCUGAAACAAAACGUGUGCUUAUCAAAAACAGAUGUCAGGCUCGAUCACCACUUUCACUGAUUCAUCGUUCUUCUGGGGAAUGGACUCCCACCCCUGACGUGUCCAUCAUGUGUAAUAAGCUACCAAUAGUGAAUAUCUUCGUUGAUAGUAUCAUCUCUACUGCAAAUUUGUUUGCUUGGGCACGCAUAUUAUACAACAACUUCGAAUUCAAAUUAAAGUUCUUCAUUUAUAUAUCGACUACUCGAAGUCCCAGAUUGGCACUAGUGGAAGUGGACUGUAAAGUUUUAUAUAUAGAGAGCGAGAGAUCUCAGCUGACAACUUAAAUUAUCAAGAUACUACUGCUGAACUGUCAAGAUAUUGCUGUUGAACUAUCAUUAUCUUGACUAAAGCUUUGAUAUCUAUUAUAACAUAGUCUGAUCCAAAGCCUAAUUUGGUCAUAACUCAAACCAUUGUUGGCAUACCAAUCUUUGCAGCUUUUUGGUAAUUUAGGGUUGUGCUAAAUGUCAAUUCUACAACAGAAUGAGAAAAUAAAUUACAUAUCUCACAAGGGAUAGACAAACUCAGUGGAAUAAAACACUUCAUGGACAGUGUUUCAUAAGUGAUUGACGAAGUUGAAGCCAAUGGCAUAAAACACCCUGGCAUGCUAUAAACCCUCUAAAACCCUAGUAUUGACUUUUCAGAAUAUUUUAAUUUACUUGUUUGAUAAAAAAGGGUGUGAAGAAUAUAUCUAAAUAUAUUCCAGAUUAUUUCUCAAUUUAACAGUUGAGAUUUUCAGCUGCUAAACUUCUCAAAUCAAGGUUUAAUGUUAAAAUUCUUACCUACUAAAAUUAAAUUACAGUUAAAAAGCCAAGAACCACCACCUUAAAAGGUUAAAGGUUUCUAUUUCGUAGUUUGUGGUUGCCGUCCUCCAAGUUCUCAAAGACUAUAUCGCACAGAGAAUUAGGGCUAUUUAUACCCCCAUUCCCAAAAGCCAUGAUCACUUCGGCCUAGUUUUUUCCAGUUAUAGUCUAACUAUUGACAUGUAGGUAGAAUACCAUGAGAUCGAAUGAACACUUCAUUUAGAGCCGGAGGACAAAUUGAUUGCCAUACAUAGACAGCAUAUGGAAUGUGUUGUUUGAUAGCAUGGUGCCUAUGAAGAAGCACUCAUAUGAUAUCACUUGUUCUUAUAUCUAUAGUCACUCUUAGAAGUUACGAAGAAGAGCAAAUAUGAAUUUGCAACGAAAGUGAAGUAUUUAAACCACAUUGUGAUAUGCUCUUACAAAAUCCAAUCCAUACUGAUGAAACUCAAUCCGCCCAAAAGUAACCGCCAAAAGAGAAGAGCUCAAAAUUCUUUAAAAGAAGUUAUAUACACUAGGGUAACACUUUAGGCAAAGUGCUAAAGAAAAUUACAUGAUGAGAAGAAUCCUCGAGUACGUUAGUAAGAUGAAUACUAGUGUUCAAGACAAGCUCAAGAGUACACAUUCCUGGUUUUGAAUUUAUAAAAGAACAAUGCACCCCAAGUUGACCAGAAAUUCGGGAUUUCAGCAUACAUGCCCAUAAACAAUAUAGCAAAAUGGAAAAGUAGCAUGGGUAUCUAGGAUUGCAUUUUAGAGACAGCUCAAGUCUCACUGGUAGUUGCCCUCUCAACCUCAAAAAUGAGUUACGUAAAUAUUACCUAUAUGUAUACAAUAUAAUAUUUGAGUAAUACGCCAUGUGGUCCAAAAGUCAUUGCACACUUACUGUUAGCUUGAAGCGAUCUUAAAACGGGCGUAAGCCCGUCAGAACUCCCUUGCCUAGACUUUCACAAACCGCCACCUCACCCCUGUGCUUCAUCGGAUUGGUGAAUCUUGAUAGCAAUGUGGAAGCUCCAUGUCUCCAGCGCUGGCGAUUCUUCUUCCGCGGCCCCCCUUAGCACUCUCAACGAUCUCGUCGGCCGCCAGAUCUGGUGCUACGACGAGGCCAUCGGCAGCGACGAGGAUCGCGCGCGCGUCCAAGAGGCUCGGGAUCACUUCACCAAGAAUCGUCAUGUCCACAAGCACAGCUCCGAUCUCCUCAUGCGAAUGCAGGUAUGCUGGUGGAAUUCCUGAUUUUCGAAUCUCCAAUCUUUCCUCUCUUCUCGCAUAGCUCUCCAAGGCUGCACAGCCGCUGCCCCAAAUCCCUCCUCCAGUGAAGGUCCAAGGCGAUGCGGAGAUCAAGCAGAGCGAUGUCGAGACCACGAUUCGUCGUGCCUUGCGAUUUUACUCCACCAUUCAAGCCGAGGACGGCCACUGGCCUGGCGAUUACGGAGGUCCCAUGUUUCUCAUGCCGGGAUUGGUAUGAGCUUAUCUUUGGGAUUUCUUACAUGCCAAACGAUGGUGUAUUAUCAGAUCAUUGCUUUGUACGUCACUGGAGCGAUCAACGUGGUUUUGUCACCGGAGCACCAACGAGAAAUGUGUAGAUACUUUUUCAAUCACCAGGUGUGUAAUCUUUCUUUCUACCGAUGUUCGUGAAUUUUUCGUCUUUCUGGAAGAACGAAGAUGGCGGCUGGGGACUGCACAUUGAAGGGCACAGCACGAUGUUUGGCACUGUACUUGUAUAUGUUUCUCUACGGCUACUUGGCCAAGAACCAGACAAGCCGGCCAUGGAGAGCGCCCUUUCAUGGAUUUUUGGUCAUGGAGGGACCAUCGCCAUUCCGUCCUGGGGAAAGUUUUGGCUCGCGGUACCUGAAGGAAAAUUCAAGUUGUUUCUUUGUUAUUGACGAUAACCUUUUUCUUGUAAGGUUCUUGGAGUGUUCGAUUGGUCGGGAGUUAAUCCCCUACCGCCAGAAAUGUAUUUGCUGCCGUAUGCGAUUCCCCUUCAUCCAGGUAUCCCCUUAAUUAUUUGUUCUCUACGUAUGCUCAAAGUUUUCUUUAGGACGUAUGUGGUGUCAUUGCCGGAUGGUUUAUCUUCCUAUGAGCUAUCUCUACGGUCGUCGUUUCACUGGAAAAAUCACACCCAAGGUUGAAGCUCUGAGAAAGGAGCUCUUUAACGGACCCUUUGAAGACGUGGAUUGGAAUCGUGCGCGAAAUACUUGUGCGAAGGUAAAAUUUUCUGCGCACCCGAGAAGGGUGCAUUUAUUUUUAUCAACUUACAGAAAGCAUUUCUUGAUGACUGGUAUGCAGGAAGAUCUGUAUUAUCCUCAUCCGCUCAUACAAGAUGUUCUUUGGGGAGUUUUGCAUAAAGGUGUGGAGCCUCUUUUAAUGCGUUGGCCAGGAUCAUUGCUGCGCAAGAAGGCGCUUGAUACGGUUCUCGAGCAUAUCCACUACGAGGAUGUCAAUACGAGAUAUAUAUGCAUUGGGUCUGUUCACAAGGUGGGAAUCGUUUUGCUCCUCUAUCUAUUUAGUUUAUUGUUCCAGUCAGGUCAUUAACAUGCUUUGCUGUUGGGCGGAGGACCCAAACUCCGAAGCUUUCAAACAGCAUUUGCCCCGAAUUCAUGAUUAUCUCUGGGUUGCGGAAGAUGGGCUGAAAAUGCAGGUAAAAGGAUUUUUAGAAUUUUUUUUUAAAAAAUUUAUUUGUUACGUAACCAAGAAACAUAUAAGGCAUACAAUGGCAGUCAACUUUGGGAUACAGCUUUUGCUGUACAAGCGAUAAUAUCAACGGACAUGCUUGAAGAAUCCCGGGAGAUGCUGAAGAAAGCUCAUUCCUACAUAGAAAAAUCACAGGUUUGUAACAAGAAUCACUAUACGUUGGUUAUCACGAUCUUCCUCCCAAAGGUACGCGAAGACUGUCCCGGGGAUUUGGACUAUUUCCAUCGACAUAUAUCAAAUGGAGCAUGGCCAUUGUCUAACAGAGAUCACGGAUGGCCUAUAUCUGAUUGUACUUCUGAAGGCUUGAAGGUAUUAUUGACCAUGAGCUAUCUAUCUUGUGAUGGAACAUUUUGUUACAGAGUGUGUUGCUUCUAUCCCGCAUUUCAUCGGACGUUGUUGGGAAGCCCUUAUCUCCAGAACGACUCUAUGAUUGCGUCAAUAUGAUCAUUUCAUAUCAGGUACAAUACUCCUCGGAUAAGUUGGCCGCUAACUCGUGAAAUCAGAACGCUAAUGGAGGAGUCGCAUCAUACGAGUUGACACGGUCAUAUGCUUGGAUCGAGGUGAGAUGAAAGGAUGGGUUUUAAGUGAUAACAUGUCGAAACUGCAGCUGUUCAACCCUUCAGAAACAUUUGGGGACAUCACAAUCGAUUACUCGUAAGAACUACAGCUAUCUAAGUAUGCCCUCUAACUGUGCGUUUGGUCUUUUUCUAGCUAUGUGGAAUGUACAUCAGCUUGCGUUCAGGCGCUCUGUGCUUUCAGCAGGCUCUACCCUGACCAUCGGUCCAAGGAAAUCGAACUAUUUGUGGCCAAAGGAUGCAAAUAUAUUGAAAGCAUUCAAAGACCUGAUGGCUCUUGGUAAGCUUGCAUUCUUUUUUCUAUUCUCAUACGUUUUUAAGGUACGGGUCAUGGGGUGUUUGUUUCACGUACGGCAUCUGGUUUGGAGUCCUAGGCUUGGUUGCCGCUGGCAAAAGCUAUAAGCACUCCGCAGCGAUCCGCAAGGCCUGCGAUUUCCUUCUUUCUAAGCAGCUCCCAUCAGGUGGCUGGGGUGAGAGCUACCUCUCCUCUCAAAACAAGGUGUGGCUAAUUUUCUCUUUCUCGUGAUACAUGUAAGCUUCUCUUCUUUGCAGGUUUAUACGAACCUGGAAGGUGGUAAGCACCACCUCGUUAACACGGCCUGGGCGAUGCUAGCGCUUAUUGCAGGUGGACAGGCAAGUCUAGACAAUUUAGUUUCAGAAAUGUUUUGGUUUCAAAAUGUUUCUCUCUUUAUCUUGUUUAGGCUGAAAGAGAUUCCACGCCUCUGCAUAAAGCCGCUGCUCUUUUGGUAAACGGACAGCUUGAAGAUGGCGAUUUUCCACAGGAGGUACGUAAUGCUUACAUAUGGUUUUUCCGUCACCUUGUUUGCUUCUUUCUUGCAGGAAAUAAUUGGAGUGUUUAACGGCAACUGCACGAUCAGCUACUCCGCCUACAGGUGUAUCUUCCCAAUCUGGGCACUCGGACAAUACCGCAGCCGCGUGCUCAAGCAUCCAGCAAUUGAGUCUUUUAUUAGUUUUCAGCAACACAUAAACCAUGACACAUAAAGCAUCGCUUUGCUAAAAUUUUACCCAUGGAAUCCCAGCUCGUUUUUAGCUGGCUCGCUGCCGUCCAGUGUUGU
rnacentral:lncRNA from 1 species